UGCAUUUUAAUAUAUGAGGUAUAAAAAUUUUUGAUAUUUUUAGAAAUAGUUUGAUUCUGUUAAGUGUAG
rnacentral:tRNA from 1 species